UACAGGGGGGGCAAGCGUUGUUCGGAAUUACUGGGCGUAAAGGGUUCGUAGGUGGCUUACUAAGUCAAACGUGAAAUCCCUCAGCUUAACUGGGGAACUGCGUCUGAUACUGGAAAGCUUGAGUGCAGGAGAGGAACGCGGAAUUCCAGGUGUAGCGGUGAAAUGCGUAGAUAUCUGGAGGAACACCGGUGGCGAAGGCGGCUCACUGGACCGGCAUUGACGCUGAGGUGCGAAAGCGUGGGGAGCAAACAGG
rnacentral:rRNA from 1 species